UGAAUACGAGAUGCUACGGCGUCGAAGCAGUCUAUGUCAUACUUCCAAGAAAAGCUCGCACUGUCAUAAACAAAUAAUGCCUGUACCAUAACCGACACAGGUGGGUAGGUAGAGUAUACUAAGGGGCGCGAGAUAACUCUCUCUAAGGAACUCGGCAAAAUGACUCCGUAACUUCGGGAGAAGGAGUGCCUUAUUUAUAAGGUUGCAAUAACAAGAUCCAAGCAACUGUUUAUCAAAAACACAGGUCUCCGCUAAGUCGUAAGACGAUGUAUGGGGGCUGACGCCUGCCCAGUGCCAGAAGGUUAAAGAAGUUGGUUAGCAUUCGCGAAGCUGAUAACUGAAGCCCUGGUGAACGGCGGCCGUAACAAUAACGGUCCUAAGGUAGCGAAAUUCCUUGUCGGGUAAGUUCCGACCCGCACGAAAGGCGUAAUGAUUUGGAUACUGUCUCGGAGAGGGGCUCGGUGAAAUAGACUUGUCUGUGAAGAUGCGGACUACCUGCACCAGGACAGAAAGACCCUAUGAAGCUUUACUGUAACUUGAGAUUGAAAUUGGACUUUACUUGCGCAGUAUAGGUGGGAGGCGUUGAUAAUAUUCUUGCGGGAUUAUUUGAGCCAUCAGUGAGAUACCACUCUUGUAAUGUUAGAUUUCUAACUUUGUAUCAUUAUCUGGUCAAAGGACAGUUUCAGGCGGGCAGUUUGACUGGGGCGGUCGCCUCCUAAACGGUAACGGAGGCGCACAAAGGUUUCCUCUGAACGGGUAGAAAUCGUAUCUAGAGUGUAAAGGCAUAAGGAAGCUUGACUGUGAGACCUACAAGUCGAGCAGGGACGAAAGUCGGUCUUAGUGAUCUGACGGUGCUGAGUGGAAAGGCCGUCACCCAACGGAUAAAAGUUACUCUAAGGAUAACAGGCUGAUCUCCCCCAAGAGUUCACAUCGACGGGGAGGUUUGGCACCUCGAUGUCGGCUCAUCGCAUCCUGGGGCGGUAGUACGUCCCAAGGGUUGGGCUGUUCGCCCAUGAAAGCGGUACGCGAGCUGGGUUCAGAACGUCGUGAGACAGUUCGGUCCAUAUCCGGUGUAGGCGUUAGAAUAUUGAGAGGAGCCUUCUUUAGUACGAGAGGACCGAGAAGGACAUACCUCUGGUGUACCAGUUAUCGUGCCAACGGUAAACGCUGGGUAGCUAUGUAUGGAGUGGAUAACCGCUGAAAGCAUCUAAGUGGGAAGCCCACCUCAAGAUAAGUAA
rnacentral:rRNA from 1 species